GAUGAACGCUAGCGACAGGCCUAACACAUGCAAGUCGAGGGGCAUCGGGGUGUAGCAAUACGCUGCCGGCGACCGGCGGAUGGGUGAGUAACGCGUAUGCAACCUGCCUUCAGCAGGGGGAUAGCCCGUUGAAAGACGGAUUAAUACCCCGUAACACAGGGGCUCCGCAUGGAGAUUAUUGUUAAAGGGAUGCUUCCUUCGGGGAGUAUUCCGGCUGAAGAUGGGCAUGCGUUCCAUUAGGUAGUUGGUUGAGGUAACGGCUCACCAAGCCUGCGAUGGAUAGGGGAACUGAAAGGUUGGUCCCCCACACUGGUACUGAGACACGGACCAGACUCCUACGGGAGGCAGCAGUGAGGAAUCUUGGUCAAUGGACGGAAGUCUGAACCAGCCAUGUCGCGUGAAGGAGGACGGCCCUAAGGUUGUAAACUUCUUUUAGCAGGGGAAUAAAGUAUUCCACGAGAUGGGAUAUUGCAAGUACGCUGCGAAUAAGGAUCGGCUAACUCCGUG
rnacentral:rRNA from 1 species